rnacentral:lncRNA from 1 species
GGCCUAGAAGGAUCAAACGAGAUUAGAAAUGGAGUCAAAAUGAAAUUAAAUUUAAAGCCGAAAGAUGAUCCGAUUUAAUUUGCAAGUUAGUGGUCCAUCAUGGGCCACUUGGUCCAUAAAGAAGAAAAUGACGACAUAUGAUUAAGAUUAAAAUAUUGAUUGAUUGCUGGCUGACAUGGGAACCAAAUGCAUUGAAACAGCACUUGCUUAAAAGGGAGUUGACACGUUUUUGUUGACACGUUUUUUUUUUUUACCUGGGUGCAUAGACGUGAAACAUAAAGGAAAUAAAGGAGGUCGGGUGCUGUUUGGCCGCGUGAAUGAAAAUGGAAACUGCAAAGGUCC